AUUCUUAUGAGCAGGUGAUUUUUUGGUGAUGUAAUUCCCUAUUUCUUCUAUUAAGAUUAAUUGAUUUAAACUUUAUAUUCGAUCUGAAGCUAACUUUAUAAACUGUAUUUCCUCCAUUUCAUCUAUGUUUUCAAAUUUAUUUUUAUAGGAUUGAUAAAUUAUAGUAACUUCUGACUUUUAAAAGUUUUGUUUCAUUGUUAUUUUGCUCUUUCGAUUUCUUUAUUGCAUGUAUUGUUUAAGCUAUGCACAGCAUUCAGUAUGCUAAUAUCACUACUAACUAAGAAUGUGCUGUUUGAAUAUAGAGGCUAGGUAAUUUGCCAAAAUUAACUCAGCUGACUAUAAGAGAUGAGAUUUGUACACAGGCAUUUUGAGAGGAAAGCCUGUCAGUCUACCUCAUACAUUUUAAGAUGGAUUUAUUUGUGAGAUACAGUUAGAAAAUGUAAAAUAAAAAAAUAGGAUGGAGGGCUGCAGUGUGAGCUCCAGUCCUGGGGCGGAUGCGUCUGCGAUGCCCUCCACACUGGUGCCUUGAGGAGGAAUUACUUGGAGCUGAGGGAGGCCCAGCCUCUAGGCUCAGGGACUGGGGAGCUUCUGAGAGGAAUGGAUGUGUGUUGGGUGGUGCUUAGGCUAUUAAUGUAAGUGCUCAUUACGUUAGAAAGUAUUAUUUCAGUAAAAGAUGUAUAUGCGUGUGCUAUCA
rnacentral:lncRNA from 10 species